UUCUCCUGGGUGCCUUCAGAACAAGAUGUAGAACUCUCAGCUCCUCCUGCGCCAUGCCUGCCUGGGUGCUGCAGUGCUUUCCACCUUGAUGAUAAUGGACUGACCCUCUGAACCUGUAAGCCAGCCCCAAUUAAAUAUUGUUUUUUUAGGAGUUGCCUCGGUCAUGGUGUCUCUUCACAGCAAUGGAAACCCUAACUAAGGUACCACAUAACUCUAUAUUCUAUUUCCCCUUCCUUGUGAGAUUCUCCCUUCUGCCCAGUUCCUUUCUUUGUAUCUAACCUCUACGGUUAUUGUUAAGAGGCAUUUUCCCAAGUUCAGCCAUCUCAGGAAUAAGUUCUGUCUUGCUGGCAGGAUCAAAACUGAGUUCAUGUUCCCAGACCCCGGACCCAAGUCCUAUCCUGCUUUCUCAGGUGUCUCAUGUUUGUCUGUUAACCAGUAAGGGAUGGAAAGAAGGGAGAUGCUGUUAUCCUGUUUUCUAAACUAAGGCACACAAGUCAUAAAUGUACUGCCUGUCCUCAUUUGAUUGACUAUGUGCAGCUUGCCCACUCCUUCGUUCCUUUACCACUCUAAAUUCCAGGUCAGAGUCCAGGAGGGGACUUGACAGCAAAAGCUGAUUCAAGGACCUUGAAAUCAGAUGACCCGCAUAAGGCCCAGUCAUCAAUGUUAACUUCCUUGUUUAACCCCUUGUGUCAAAAUAUUUUUGAUCAAUGCAACAGCCCAUCCCUAUCCCUCAUGCUUUAAAAAUGCUGUGUUAGCUAUCAGGCACAUUCACAGACAACCAAAAGGAACUCUGCGGACAAUGUUGACAAUCAGACAUCUUUACAACCUGCUCCCAGAGACCCUGAAAGAAGACACAUCCUUACAUGCCCAGAGGCCUGUCAUUUGUCUGUUUGUGCAUGAGCCAUGGUCCCCGAUCAAAAGCUGUUUUCUCUUCCUCCAUACCUUCCUCUCUUCCUUCUGUUCAGAGGCAGCCUCUAUUCCUCUUCCUCUUAGUAAACUCCCCACAUGAGACUUGUGGCAGGGUGUGAUUUUUGUCAGAACCUGCCGCCUGUUUCCAUCAGUAAGAUCUCCAUUUGGGAAUGAGGUUCAGAUCCCAAACUGGCCGCCUCCCUUGCACACACAGAAAAUAAAGCUUUCAUUUUAAGCUUCUGUUUCUGAGGAGAGUUUUCCUGCCUUCCACCUGAACCCAACAGUUAAACGGAUUAUGGCAUAUCUAGCAACAAGGUAACAGCUACAUAAAUACAUACCAUAUUUUUGGGUCUGGUUUAUCUCUGGAUGAUUUUUUUCCCUCACUCCAUCCAUUUACCUGCAAAUUUCACUUUUGUUUGUUUUUGUUUGUUUUUAAUGAGCAGGAUAAUAUUCCUUUGUGUAAAUGCACCACAUUUUCAUUAUUCAUUUUUCCAUUGACAGACAUCUAGGCUAUUUCUACUCUCUGUCUAUCAUAAGUAGAGCAGCCAAGACUAUGGAUAAACAAGUGUCUCUGGAGUAGGGUGUGGAGUCCUUUGGAUACGUGGCCAGGAGGGAGUGGUAUAGGUAGAUCUUGAGGUUAUUCCCAGCUUCCUGAGAAACCACCAGUUAUUUCCACAGUGCUGUACAGAUUUGCACUCCCACCAGCAGUGAAUAAAUGAUCCCCUUUAUCCCCAUCUUUGCUAGCAUGAACUGUCUUUUUUGUAUAAAUUUAUCUUGGCCAUUAUGAAUUUAAGUUGAAAUUUCCAGGUAGUUUUGACUUGCAUUUCUCCUGAUAACUAAGGAUGUUGAACAUGUCUUUAUGUGUUUCUCAGGCAUUUAUGUUUUAUCAUUUGAGGACUCAGAGUAUCAAAUGUUAUCAUUUGAGUUCUGUAUCCAGUUUUUUUUUGUUGUUGUUAUACAGAGGCCUGUAAAGCUUCCUUCAAAGCCAACCUGAGAUGCAGUUAAUCGUCCCCUUGGCUUUUCACAUGUCUCUGUGGAACACCACAGAGUACUCUGAGAGCCAGAAGGAAAGUGUGUGAGAUGAGCGGUUUCGGGAAAUCUGUUCAGGCUGUGGCUCUGAGCCCUGUAACCUCUAAAUCUCCAGGAAAGGCCUGGUCCUCCCACUUACACAACCCUGUCCUUUAAAUACAGCAAACUGU
rnacentral:lncRNA from 1 species